AUUGAACGCUGGCGGCAUGCCUUACACAUGCAAGUCGAACGGCAUCGCGGGAAAGCUUGCUUUCUUGGCGGCGAGUGGCGAACGGGUGAGUAACACAUCGGAACGUACCGGCGAGUGGGGGAUAACCCGUCGAAAGACGUGCUAAUACCGCACACGCUCUUCGGAGGAAAGCAGGGGACAUCUGGGCCUUGCGCUAGCCGAGCGGCCGAUGUCCGAUUAGCUAGUUGGUGGGGUAAAGGCCUACCAAGGCGACGAUCGGUAGCGGGUCUGAGAGGACGAUCCGCCACACUGGGACUGAGACACGGCCCAGACUCCUACGGGAGGCAGCAGUGGGGAAUAUUGGACAAUGGGGGCAAGCCUGAUCCAGCAAUGCCGCGUGGGUGAAGAAGGCCUUCGGGUUGUAAAGCCCUUUCGGCAGGGAAGAAAUCGGGGGAGCGAAUAACCCUGCUGGAUGACGGUACCUGCAGAAGAAGCACCGGCUAACUACGUG
rnacentral:rRNA from 1 species